rnacentral:rRNA from 1 species
UACGUAGGGGGCAAGCGUUGUCCGGAAUCAUUGGGCGUAAAGAGCGUGUAGGCGGCCCGAUAAGUCCGCCGUGAAAGUCCAGGGCUCAACCCUGGAAUGCCGGUGGAAACUGUCGGGCUGGAGUCCGGAAGAGGCGAGUGGAAUUCCUGGUGUAGCGGUGAAAUGCGCAGAUAUCAGGAGGAACACCAGCGGCGAAGGCGGCGCUCUGGGCCGGAACUGACGCUGAGGAGCGAAAGCGUGGGUAGCAAACAGG